rnacentral:rRNA from 1 species
GACGAACGCUGGCGGCGUGCUUAACACAUGCAAGUCGAACGGAAAGGCCCUGCUUUUGUGGGGUGCUCGAGUGGCGAACGGGUGAGUAACACGUGAGUAACCUGCCCUUGACUUUGGGAUAACUUCAGGAAACUGGGGCUAAUACCGGAUAGGAGCUCCUGCUGCAUGGUGGGGGUUGGAAAGUUUCGGCGGUUGGGGAUGGACUCGCGGCUUAUCAGCUUGUUGGUGGGGUAGUGGCUUACCAAGGCUUUGACGGGUAGCCGGCCUGAGAGGGUGACCGGCCACAUUGGGACUGAGAUACGGCCCAGACUCCUACGGGAGGCAGCAGUGGGGAAUAUUGCACAAGGGGCGGAAGCCUGAUGCAGCAACGCCGCGUGCGGGAUGACGGCCUUCGGGUUGUAAACCGCUUUCGCCUGUGACGAAGCGUGAGUGACGGGAAUGGGUAAAGAAGCACCGGCUAACUACGU